UCCGUCAUGUCGAUCUCCUCCGCCUUCAUCCCCGGCGGCGGCGUCCACUCGAAGUGGUGCAGAAGGUGCCCCAACAUUGAUGUCACCAAAUUAAUCCCCAAUUGAGCCCCUGGACAAACCCUCCGCCCUGCUCCGAACGGCAGCAGUCGCAGAUCGUGCCCUUUCAUGUCCACAUCCUCUUCAAGGAACCGCUCCGGCCGGAAUUCCUCCGGGUUCUUCCACACUGCCGGGUCACGUGCCACCGCCCAUACGUUCACGUGCACGUUCGAUCCUUUGGGAAUGUCGUAGCCGCCGAUCUUCACGUUGGCGUUGGAUCGGUGCGG
rnacentral:misc_RNA from 1 species